rnacentral:rRNA from 1 species
CGCGUAGGCGGCUUGGUAAGUCAGAUGUGAAAAACCGGGGGCGUCAACCCGCCGGCCUGCAUCUGAAACUAGUCAGGCUUGAGUCUGGUAGAGGAAAGUGGAAUUCCCAGUGUAGCGGUGAAAUGCGCAGAUAUUGGGAGGAACACCAGUGGCGAAGGCGGCUUUCUGGGCCACGACUGACGCUGAGGCGCGAAAGCUAGGGGAGCAAACAGGAUUAGAUACCCUGGUAGUCCUAGCCGUAAACGAUGGGCACUAGGUGUGGGGGGUCGAUCAACUCCCUCCGUGCCGCAGCUAACGCAUUAAGUGCCCCGCCUGGGGAGUACGGCCGCAAGGCUAAA